rnacentral:misc_RNA from 1 species
AAGUCGUAACAAGGUUUCCGUAGGUGAACCUGCGGAAGGAUCAUCAGCAAAAGCUUUGAAAAAGUCGCUGUCCAGCCCCUUUGUGGCGCAGCGACCAGACUCCCGAGUGGGUCUGAACGCGUCUUGAGCAAAGAUCUGUUUCUUUUUUUUCAAAUCGAAAAAGCACAACUUUUGACAACGGAUCUCUUGGCUCUC